GCAUAACGCGAAGAACCUUACCAAGGCUUGACAUCCCCUUGACUGGCACAGAGAUGUGCCCUCUCCUUCGGGAGCAAGGGUGACAGGUGGUGCAUGGUUGUCGUCAGCUCGUGUCGUGAGAUGUUGGGUUAAGUCCCGCGACGAGCGCAACCCUUAUCCUUAGUUGCCAGCAUUUAAGGUGGGCACUCUAAGGAGACUGCCGAUGAUAAAUCGGAGGAAGGUGGGGAUGACGUCAAAUCAUCAUGCCCCUUAUGUCUUGGGCUACACACGUGCUACAAUGGUCGGUACAAAGGGGAGCGAAGGAGUGAUCUGGAGCAAAUCCCAAUAAACCGAUCUCAGUUCGGAUUGUAGGCUGCAACUCGCCUACAUGAAGUCGGAGUUGCUAGUAAUCGCGAAUCAGAACGUCGCGGUGAAUGCGUUCCCGGGUCUUGUACACACCG
rnacentral:rRNA from 1 species